rnacentral:rRNA from 1 species
UACGUAGGGUCCGAGCGUUGUCCGGAAUUAUUGGGCGUAAAGGGCUCGUAGGCGGUUUGUCGCGUCGGGAGUGAAAACCCAGGGCUUAACCCUGGGCUGGCUUCCGAUACGGGCAGACUAGAGUGCGGUAGGGGAGAUUGGAAUUCCUGGUGUAGCGGUGGAAUGCGCAGAUAUCAGGAGGAACACCGGUGGCGAAGGCGGGUCUCUGGGCCGAUACUGACGCUGAGGAGCGAAAGCGUGGGGAGCGAACAGG